AUAUACAGUGUAUCACUCAGUGUUGUCCUAUGAUAUACAGUGUAUCACUCAGUGCUGUCUGUCCUAUGAUAUACAGUGUAUCACUCAGUUCUGCCUGUCCUAUGAUAUACAGUGUAUCACUCAGUUCUGCCUGUCCUAUGAUAUACAGUGUAUCACUCAGUGCUGUCUGUCCUAUGAUAUACAGUGUGUAUCACUCAGUGCUGUCCUAUGAUAUACAGUGUGUAUCACUCAGUGCUGUCCUAUGAUAUACAGUGUGUAUCACUCAGUGCUGUCUGUCCUAUGAUAUA